CCAUCCAUCAUCUAUCUGUCCAUCCAUCCAGCUUAAACCCCAGUGUAAACCUUUCGUCGGUCACACCCAAACUCUGCUGUGGUUCAGCUCUGACUCCAGACGUUACUGUAGCCAAAACAGACGAGUCAUCGUGUGUUGUAACACAGUACUGCAUAUAAAGACCACGAACACAAACACUGACCCAGAGUCUGUUCUGUUUCUGCACCAGGAGAGUUUCUUCUACUGCACCGUUGACAGGACAAAAUGAGCGACCCACGUGGUAAAUCGGGUGAGAAGAGAGGCGGACCCGGCGAGGAGUGUCGCGGCCGCGGGCCGUGUGAUUCUGAAAAAGAAAAAAGAGGAGAAAACUGUGAGGGGAAAGGACCUGCGGAAGGACAAGGACAAGGACAAGGAGGUGGCCGUGGGCAGGAGAUGAGAGCACAGCACUGUGGACGCGGUGAUGGACGACCCAAUAAUUAACGAGAACCUCCGCUUGAACCUCACCAUAUUAACUGUUUCAGUUAAAAUAAAUAAUUUAAAAAAUUUAAAAAAAAAAACCUGUUUGACUUUUAUACGUGAUGAGUUGUUUAUUUUUAUCACAGUCAUGGCGAUAAAUUUUACUGUACAGAUAAUUCAUGUAUAUGUAUAUAUAUGUAUAUGUAUUUCAUAUGUAUGUAGCUGUAUGGUACUUUAUGAUUUAAUAGCUACAUAAUCACUAUUUAGUCCAGUAGCAUUAGCCGUAUUUUAGCAUCUAAAAACUACAAUUUGAAUUACUAAUUGCUAUAAUUUACUUUUUUUUAUUGUCAUCUGUCAGCGCUCCCCCUACUGGUAGAUUAUAAUCUACUUGUCAUCACAAAUACAGUAUAUAUUAUUUAUAAAAGACAGUCAAUCCUGACACUGGAGCAACAACCCUUCUUUUUCUAACAGCAUUUUUACCUUUGGACUCCAGUUUUAUCGUUUAAAAAGAAAA